rnacentral:rRNA from 1 species
UACGGAGGGUGCAAGCGUUGUCCGGAAUUAUUGGGCGUAAAGAGCUCGUAGGCGGUUUGUCGCGUCUGCUGUGAAAACCUAAGGCUCAACCUUGGGCUUGCAGUGGGUACGGGCAGACUAGAGUGCGGUAGGGGUGACUGGAAUUCCUGGUGUAGCGGUGGAAUGCGCAGAUAUCAGGAGGAACACCGAUGGCGAAGGCAGCUUGCUGGGACGGUACUGACGCUGAGGCGCGAAAGCGUGGGGAGCAAACAGG